rnacentral:rRNA from 1 species
UACGGAGGGUGCAAGCGUUAUCCGGAUUCACUGGGUUUAAAGGGUGCGUAGGUGGGUUGGUAAGUCAGUGGUGAAAUCUCCGUGCUUAACAUGGAAACUGCCAUUGAUACUACUGAUCUUGAAUUUUCUGGAGGUAAGCGGAAUAUGUCAUGUAGCGGUGAAAUGCUUAGAUAUGACAUAGAACACCAAUAGCGAAGGCAGCUCGCUGGGACGUUACUGACACUGAGGCGCGAAAAGCGUGGGGGAGCGAACAGG